UAUUUGCCAAUAAAACUGGAAUUUGUCUUACGAGUCAGUGUCUAGUAUAGUGUGGGUAUAAUAACUCAGUUAAAUGUAGUUCAAUGUCAAGGAAGCGAAAUAGAUUCAAGGGAGCACAGAGCGAGCACCGACUGAACUACUGAAUUUCUUGUGGGCUGGAUUUAUAAACGAGACUUGUAUGCAGGCAGCAAAAGCGAACAAAAGCUGUUCACAAGCUCAUCACAGAAAUGUCUGAGGAGCGACGUUGAUGACAAAUAAGCUUCAAAAUAAACAUUCACCACCAAUGAGAGGCUUCGCGCAUUGCGCAUAUUAGCUAAUUUACAAAAAAGCAAAUUCAGCAACAACAAUAACAAUAACAACAACAACAAACCGGCGAACACGCAAGAGACUAUGAUGAAAUCGUCUAAAGUUAGAUUGCGAUUUUACGAGUUUUUCUUCUUGAGCUGAGCCCACGAAAUGUUCAAGCGAAGAAAAAGCGAAGAGAAGAGGAAGAUCAAAAACAUAAGCAGAGAGAGAGAUAGAGAGAUUUCACAAAUAACCAAUUAAUUACCGUUAAUGUUCGCUUGAUUUUCACUUCUAGUUCGAAAUGUAUCUAUAUAUACAUAGGGAAGCAGAUCGUUGUACUAUAUCUUAUGGCCGCCGACACGCUCGAUUGUCGAACUGAUACUGAGACCCAUGAGCGACUCAAAGAGAAUUCGUACUUGAUUUCAAUAGCAAACAGAUGUUUGUUUUGUCUGUGCAUUUCUUUCAUCUCUGAGCUUUUCUGUCUGAGCAAUUAAAAAAGCGCUCGUUAACUCCCACAAACCUCUUUUCUUCAA